rnacentral:rRNA from 1 species
AUGUUAUAUUCAUGCCCCAAUCAUGAGCUCCCAAGAGAAACAAUUCUUCAAAAAAUUUAUGCUCGGCUUUCUGAAAAUAAUCGCACCAUGCUCGAUACUUCUUGUGGUGGCUCUUUUAUGAUGAAGACUAUUGGAUUUAGAUGGGAUUUAUUGGAUAGAAUUAAACGCAACUCUGAAGAUUGGGAUCUCGACAAAGGUAAGGAGUCAGGUAUGACACCUAAGUUUGAUUGUGUUAAAUCGUUUAUGGAUACCGAUAUUUUCCGUAAGUUUAGCACUAAAUAUGGACUUGAUUCUGAGAUAGUAGCUUCUUUCUGUGAAUCUUUUGCUACUUUUGUUGAUCUCCCUAAGUAG